AAAAUCGGGAUUUUGGUCAAAUCCGACUUUUGGCUGAUCCUACGAGCUACGACAGUUAUACCUACAAAUAUUUAGCGUUUCGUGCUGCAAUUAGUAGUUGAUAUUCUAGGAUGUUAUGCCUAAAAUUGGAAUUCAGCUAUCAGAGAUUAGCAACAUUCAAACGGAAACUGUAGAUGGCGUUGAUGUGCGUCUAUGAUGAAGAUUUUGAGUGACAAGUUAAAUGGGUGUUUGUUACGUUACCCUAUUAUGUGUUUCAAAGGAUUUUUCGUCAAAAAAUUUACGAUUGCUUUUGUAUGUGGUGGUGUUGCGCCUUGUCAGCUACGCCAGCUGCUGAACCAGUAACCUGCAUUCCUGCUAUCAAUGUACCACAAAAGAUCCUGACACUUUAAGAAGGCAACUAUUGCUUACAUGAAGAUCACCAUCCAGUUCAAGCACUAUUAAUGGACCUCAAGCCUUUCGUUUAAGCUUAGUGAUGUGUUCUCUCAUCAAUCAACGACAGAGUCUUCAUCUACUUUGUGUUGCUAACCAUCAGCCCUCAGCAUCCCAGGUAUCCAGAUUUCCAAGUUUCUCUGAUUAGCCAACCAUCAUCCAUACCCUUCAGCUCUUCAUUGUGGCUUCUCUUCCUCUUAUCUUAGUCUGCUGAAUGCCAACAUUGAAUAAUGUUCAUCAUCAUUGCCUUUCCAUGAAAAUUUUCAUUAUUAAUCCUGCUGUUCUUCUCACCGUUACUUAGCCAUCUCACAUGGAUAGGCUUUAACAACAUCUCCAUUUUUUGGAUUGUAAAUAUUCGUUUUCCUUCGGUACAACACUGCCGUUUUGACAAUUUCGGUAGUUUCGCUCCCAGUUGACCACACGCAACUACAUUUUCUUCGUCUUCCUGUCGUUGUUGUCUACGACUUCACCUCAUCGCUGUCUUCGUUGACAUCUUCGCCUUUAUCUCCGUCUCAUCGUCUUGGUCGUCUUCGCCUUCAUCUCCGUCUCGUCGUCUUCGCCUUCAUCUCCGUCUCGUCGUCUUCGCCGUCUUUGUCUACGCCAUUACCUCGUCGCCGGCUUCUUCUUCGCCCUUCAUGUAGGGAAUUCACCGUGGGUCGUCGCUCUGGUAUUGUUUUAUUUUGCAUUGUUAUGUUUAAGUUAACCCGUUGGCUGCCACCCCGUUUGCGUCCCAUUUUUGUUGUAGCUUGUAGGGACCGGCCGCAAUGGCCUUCGCCGCAAGGCGCCUUAGGCA